rnacentral:rRNA from 1 species
CGAACGGUGAAGAGGAGCUUGCUCCUCGGAUCAGUGGCGGACGGGUGAGUAACACGUGAGCAACCUGCCUUUCAGUGGGGGACAACAGUUGGAAACGACUGCUAAUACCGCAUAACGUGCCGGAGGGGCAUCCUUUUGGUACCAAAGAUUUAUCGCUGAAAGAUGGGCUCGCGUCUGAUUAGAUAGUUGGUGAGGUAACGGCCCACCAAGUCGACGAUCAGUAGCCGGACUGAGAGGUUGAUCGGCCACAUUGGGACUGAGACACGGCCCAGACUCCUACGGGAGGCAGCAGUGGGGAAUAUUGGACAAUGGGGGAAACCCUUAUCCAGCGACGCCGCGUGAGGGAAGAAGGUUUUCGGAUUGUAAACCUCUGUCAGUGGGGACGAUAAUGACGGUACCCACGGAGGAAGCCACGGCUAACUACGUGCCAGCAGCCGCGGUAAUACGUAGGUGGCAAGCGUUGUCCGGAAUUACUGGGUGUAAAGGGAGCGUAGGCGGGAUGUCAAGUCAGAAGUGAAAAUUAUGGGCUCAACUCAUAACCUGCUUUUGAAACUGAUAUUCUUGAGUGAAGUAGAGGCAAGCGGAAUUCCUAGUGUAGCGGUGAAAUGCG